CUUAUCCUUUGAUGAGCC
rnacentral:siRNA from 1 species